rnacentral:ncRNA from 1 species
UGUUGUUUAACUAUGGCAAAAAGAAGUUUUUUCAUUAUAACUGCAUAAAAUUUUUUUAUUUUAUUCUAAUAUAAUAUUUUAUAGUGUUUAUUAGCAGUUAGUCUUUCAUUUAAACUAGUUUUUUUAAGAUAAUGUGAAAUUAAAGGGGAUAGGACACAGUGCCAGCAUCCGCGGUUAAUCUGUUUUCUUUGCUUUUUUAUAACUUUUGGUUGAACAUUAUUACAAAAGGUUAGGUGAAAUUUUCUUAAUUUUAUUUUUAGUGUUUAUAAGUGGAUAAACAAUUAUAAAUGACAGGGAUUAGAUACCCCAUUAAUAAAUUGUUAUACUAAAGUUUAGUUUUAUAACUAAAAUAGUUUGGCAGCGAGUUACCCCUAUUGGGGGAAGGUGUGUUGUAAAGGACGAUCCGCCCAUUAAAUUACUUAAUUUAUGUUGGUGUAUAUCUGGUUAGAUAUUAUUGCUUUAUAGCUGAAUUUGUUUAUAUAUUAUUAAGCCAAGUCUAUGUGCUGCGUAAUUAAGUCUUUCAUGCGUUACCUUAAUAAAUAUUUUCUUGUAAAAGUGUGUAUAAUUUAGGACUCAAAAGUAAUAAUGAAUUAAUUUGUCUUUGUGAAAAAGGUUUAACUCGGGUACACACCGCCCGUCACCCUCGAUUUUUGUUGAGGUAAGUCGUAACAUGGUAACCUCAAAUGAAUUUGAGGUUAAUUAUACAAUAUU